rnacentral:rRNA from 1 species
CGAACGCUGGCGGCGUGCCUAACACAUGCAAGUCUACUUGAACGCUCUGCUUGCAGAGAACUAAGGUGGCGAACGGGUGAGUAACGCGUAGAUAAUCUACCACUUAAAUCUGGAUAACCUCGUGAAAACGGGACUAAUACGGGAUGUGGUCACUGAAUGGCAUCAUUGGUGAUUAAAGACUGCGAGUCGAUAAGUGAUGAGUCUGCGUAACAUUAGCUAGUUGGUGGGGUAAAGGCCUACCAAGGCAACGAUGUUUAGCUGGUCUGAGAGGAUGAUCAGCCACACUGGGACUGAGAUACGGCCCAGACUCCUACGGGAGGCAGCAGUGAGGAAUAUUGCACAAUGGGGGCAACCCUGAUGCAGCAACGCCGCGUGUACGAUGAAGCAGUUAUCUGUGUAAAGUACUGUUAACUGGGACGAAGAGAUAUAUAGGCUAUAUCGAUGACGGUACCAGUAGAGGAAGCUCCGGCUAACUCC